CUACGUGCCAGCAGCCGCGGUAAUACGGAAGGUCCGGGCGUUAUCCGGAUUUAUUGGGUUUAAAGGGAGCGUAGGCUGGAGAUUAAGUGUGUUGUGAAAUGUAGACGCUCAACGUCUGACUUGCAGCGCAUACUGGUUUCCUUGAGUACGCACAACGUUGGCGGAAUUCGUCGUGUAGCGGUGAAAUGCUUAGAUAUGACGAAGAACUCCGAUUGCGAAGGCAGCUGACGGGAGCGCAACUGACGCUGAAGCUCGAAGGUGCGGGUAUCGAACAGGAUUAGAUACCCUGGUAGUCCGCACAGUAAACGAUGGAUGCCCGCUGUUGGUACCUGGUAUCAGCGGCUAAGCGAAAGCAUUAAGCACUCCGCCUGGGGAGUACGACCGCAAGGUUGAAACUCAAAGGAAUUGACGGGGGCCCGCACAAGCGGUGGAGCAUGUGGUUUAAUUCGAAGCAACGCGAAGAACCUUACCAGGUCUUGACAUCCCUCUGACCGCUCUAGAGAUAGAGUUUUC
rnacentral:rRNA from 1 species